UUAUCGCUCCUAUAUGCAGCACCUAUGAUGGUUUCCUUCCCAAAAGCAACGAUUUGAUUCCCCAAAAUGGCGAUUCAAGCACUCGGUUAAUUCAAAUAUGAUUAGAAAUAGGUUUGGGUUCUUAUUGAUAUCGCUCCUCAACCGAUUCAUUGCUCCUUCCAAGUUCCAUCACUAUUUCAAUCGAGCUUAUAUGAAGAGCCAAUGAGCUAGACGAGAUGUUUCCGGUUGUAGAUCUGAAAAAUAAAUCCAAUAUAUUUGUAAGCAUAUUGUGGAAGCAACUCAACCGUCUUGGGAAUAUUGGCUUUGAUCCAGAGACCUUUAGGAUAAACCCAUAUAGAAUUGCUCAGUUUGUCCAUGCUUAUUCUGUUUUCCCUCUUGCUUCGGAUAUUGAUCAUUGGUUCAUUUGCUCAAGGGGAGGGGAUUGACUGCUUCAAGCAAUUUAAGGUUAUUAGAAUGGCAAGUAUGCAAGAAGAAGCAUAACAAGCUCGAGUUUUUGGUUCCAUGGUGGGAUCUUCAAAUGGAUGCAGACUCUUUAUUUUCCCAAGACAAUUUGCAACGACUCUUUCUUCCAAGAUGACGAUUCACGUUCAGGCUACUAUUCAUACUCUUGACGAUUCCAAGAUUAUCACUCCUCCUAUUGCUCCUCUCAACGAAGACAUAAAUCAGUGGAAACAACAUGGGGAAACCUUCUACAUGAACUUCAGAACAACUGUUUUUGUUAUACUGUGGUGGUAUGUGGAAACUGCCAGAAUUUCUUGUGCCAACCAACGGGUGGCCGUGCCAGGCUCACCGAAGGAUGCUUCUUAUGGAGGAAGGGCAACUGAUCAAGUAAUCCAUUGUUGCUUUUUUUUAUUAUGGUGUCUUUCUUAAUCAGAAGUUGUUUUGGUUACAAAUUACAAGUUGAGUUGUUUAGGGUAGCUUUUUAUUGUUCUUUGUUAACGGGGGCACACACUUGUUAGUUUGAUAAUGUUGAAUUCGUCCUUGUAAUGACUCAAGUUUUGGAUUUUUGAUAUUAUCUAUUGAUGCAUGAUUUUUGACUCAA